rnacentral:rRNA from 1 species
ACGGGAGGCAGCAGUGGGGAAUAUUGCGCAAUGGGGGAAACCCUGACGCAGCAACGCCGCGUGAAGGAAGAAGGUCUUCGGAUUGUAAACUUUUGUCUUUGGGGACGAAAAAUGACGGUACCCAAGGAGGAAGCUCCGGCUAACUACGUGCCAGCAGCCGCGGUAAUACGUAGGGAGCGAGCGUUGUCCGGAAUUACUGGGUGUAAAGGGUGCGUAGGCGGGUAUGCAAGUCACAUGUGAAAUACCGGAGCUCAACUCCGGAACUGCAUGAGAAACUGUAUAUCUUGAGUGCAGGAGAGGUAAGCGGAAUUCCUAGUGUAGCGGUGAAAUGCGUAGAUAUUAGGAGGAACACCAGUGGCGAAGGCGGCUUACUGGACUGUAACUGACGCUGAGGCACGAAAGCGUGGGGAGCAAACAGGAUUAGAUACCCUGGUA